rnacentral:rRNA from 1 species
AGACCCGAAACCCGGUGAUCUAGCCAUGGGCAGGUUGAAGGUUGGGUAACACUAACUGGAGGACCGAACCGACUAAUGUUGAAAAAUUAGCGGAUGACCUGUGGCUGGGGGUGAAAGGCCAAUCAAACCGGGAGAUAGCUGGUUCUCCCCGAAAGCUAUUUAGGUAGCGCCUCGUGAAUUCAUCUCCGGGGGUAGAGCACUGUUUCGGCUAGGGGGCCAUCCCGGCUUACCAACCCGAUGCAAACUGCGAAUACCGGAGAAUGUUAUCACGGGAGACACACGGCGGGUGCUAACGUCCGUCGUGAAGAGGGAAACAACCCAGACCGCCAGCUAAGGUCCCAAAGUCAUGGUUAAGUGGGAAACGAUGUGGGAAGGCCCAGACAGCCAGGAUGUUGGCUUAGAAGCAGCCAUCAUUUAAAGAAAGCGUAAUAGCUCACUGGUCGAGUCGGCCUGCGCGGAAGAUGUAACGGGGCUAAACCAUGCACCGAAGCUGCGGCAGCGAACGUAUCACUUAAAGCGAUUCAGCGGGUUACGAUUGACGGAGCGAAGCGACGUCAAAGCGUAUACAAAGUCGAGUCGGUUUAAGGAUACGUUCGUUGGGUAGGGGAGCGUUCUGUAAGCCUGUGAAGGUGUGUCGUGAGGCAUGCUGGAGGUAUCAGAAGUGCGAAUGCUGACAUAAGUAACGAUAAAGCGGGUGAAAAGCCCGCUCGCCGGAAGACCAAGGG